UACAGAGGGGGGCAAGCGUUUGUUCGGAAUUACUGGGCGUAAAGCGCGCGUAGACGGCUUUGCAAGUCGGGGUGUGAAAUCCCCCAGGCUUAACCUGGGGAACUGCAUUCGAGACUGCAUUUGCUAGAGUAUGGGGAGAGGGAAGUGGAAUUUCAGGUGUAGCGGUGAAAUGCGUAGAUAUCUGAAGGAACAUCAGUGGCGAAAGCGACUUCCUGGACCAAUACUGACGCUCAUGUGCGAAAGCGUGGGGGAGCAAACAGGG
rnacentral:rRNA from 1 species